ACGAACGCUGGCGGCGUGCCUAAUCCCUGCAAGUAGCACGCUGAAGAGAGGAGCUUGCUCUUCUUGGAUGAGUUGCGAACGGGUGAGUAACGCGUAGGUAACCUGCCUUGUAGCGGGGGAUAACUAUUGGAAACGAUAGCUAAUACCGCAUAACAAUAGGUGACACAUGUCAUUUAUUUGAAAGGGGCAAUUGCUCCACUACAAGAUGGACCUGCGUUGUAUUAGCUAGUAGGUGAGGUAACGGCUCACCUAGGCGACGAUACAUAGCCGACCUGAGAGGGUGAUCGGCCACACUGGGACUGAGACACGGCCCAGACUCCUACGGGAGGCAGCAGUAGGGAAUCUUCGGCAAUGGGGGCAACCCUGACCGAGCAACGCCGCGUGAGUGAAGAAGGUUUUCGGAUCGUAAAGCUCUGUUGUAAGUCAAGAACGAGUGUGAGAGUGGAAAGUUCACACUGUGACGGUAGCUUACCAGAAAGGGACGGCUAACUACGUG
rnacentral:rRNA from 1 species